UGGGGAAUCUUGCGCAAUGGGCGAAAGCCUGACGCAGCCACGCCGCGUGCGGGAUGAAGGCCCUAGGGUUGUAAACCGCUUUUAACAGGAACGAAAAUGACGGUACCUGUAGAAUAAGGUGCGGCCAACUACGUGCCAGCAGCCGCGGUGACACGUAGGCACCAAGCGUUGUCCGGAUUUAUUGGGCGUAAAGAGCUCGUAGGCGGUUCAGUAAGUCGGGUGUGAAAACUCUGGGCUUAACCCAGAGACGCCACUCGAUACUAUUGUGACUAGAGUUCGGUAGGGGAGCGGGGAAUUCCUAGUGUAGCGGUGAAAUGCGCAGAUAUUAGGAGGAACACCGGUGGCGAAGGCGCCGCUCUGGGCCGAUACUGACGCUGAGGAGCGAAAGCGUGGGUAGCAAACAGGAUUAGAUACCCUGGUAGUCCACGCCGUAAACGGUGGGCACUAGGUGUGGGUUCCAACCAACGGAAUCCGCGCCGUCGCUAACGCAUUAAGUGCCCCGCCUGGGGAGUACGGCCGCAAGGUUA
rnacentral:rRNA from 1 species